CCUACGUGUGGCAGCAGUGAGGAAUAUUGGUCAAUGGGCGUAAGCCUGAACCAGCCAAGCCGCGUGAGGGAUGACGGCUCUAUGGAUCGUAAACCUCUUUUAUCGGCGAAUAAAGUCUGGGACGUGUCCCGUUUUGUCUGUACCUUAUGAAUAAGCAUCGGCUAACUCCUUGCCAGCAGCCGCGGUAAUACGGAGGAUGCGAGCGUUAUCCGGAUUUAUUGGGUUUAACGGGUGGGUAGGCGGGCUUGUAAGUCAGCGGUGAAAGUCUGUGGCUCAACCCUCGAAUUGCCGUUGAAACUGGCAGGCUUGAGUAUGUGUGAGGGAGGCGGAAUGCGUGGUGUAGCGGUGAAAUGCUUAGAUAUCACGCAGAACCCCGAUUGCGAAGGCAGCCUACC
rnacentral:rRNA from 1 species